ACACACACACACACAUAUAUAUUAAAACUCAAUUUUGCGUUACCAUUCCAACAACAAUAUUGUAAAAUUUUUAUUAUGUGUUUUUAUUCUUUUUUUUUUUUCCUUAUUUCAAUUAGUUGAACCCUUUCAAUUUUUAUCUUUUUUUUUUUUGCAAUACCUAACUUUAAAAUUUUAUUUCAUUUUAAUUGUUUUUAAUUAUUAAAUGAUUACAUUUAUCUCAAUUCCGCUCACAAGGUCAUUUUUAGUAUAUCUCCUGAUCUUCUUGAUUCUUAUAAUUUAAAACAGUCAAUUUAUGGCAUCAAUAUAUCUUUUAUUAAGCAUACAGUACUAUUCUUAGCUUAUGCUAAUCUCAAAUCCAAUAAAAAAUGAAUAUUCACGUUUAUUUUACCAUUUCAUUUUCACUGUAUUCUACAGGUCGCCUGCCUUUACCUGGUAGAGGCUUCUGCUUUUAACAACUAUGGCAUCUAGCUAUUCUUGCUAAUAAGUCCAGUUUGAUACUGACACAAGUGCUGUUUCCUUAGGUAUCAAACUAGAUUUUAUUAGCAAGAAUAACUAAAAGCCACAAUUAAUAAGUUUGUCUCUUUCAAAUCAAUCCAAAAUUAAAAUUGAAUAAUUAGUCCCACAAGCUAAUCGAAUCAUGUCAGAUCCAAACCAAUAAACUUCAAAAUCAUAAAACGUAAGAGACCAGAUAAAUGACAAUUUGUUUCACAUAAUUUGUAAUCCCAUAUAAUUGAAGUCAGCCUCUUUUGCUUAGAAUAAGAAAUAAAAAUAGAUAGCUUUAGCACAAACAGAUGAUCUGGCUAGAGAAGUUUUCAGAAAAGCUUACCACUUGGACAUGUCCCCACCAAAGAAUUCAAUAAA
rnacentral:misc_RNA from 1 species